UCAGGACGAACGCUGGCGGCGUGCCUAAUACAUGCAAGUAGAACGCUGAAGGAGGAGCUUGCUCUUCUGGAUGAGUUGCGAACGGGUGAGUAACGCGUAGGUAACCUGCCUGGUAGCGGGGGCAUAACUAUUGGAAACGAUAGCUAAUACCGCAUAAGAGUAGAUAUCGCAUGAUAGCCGCUUGAAAGGUGCAAUUGCACCACUACCAGAUGGACCCGCGUUGUAUUAGCUAGUUGGUGAGGUAACGGCUCACCAAGGCAACGAUACAUAGCCGACCUGAGAGGGUGAUCGGCCACACUGGGACUGAGACACGGCCCAGACUCCUACGGGAGGCAGCAGUAGGGAAUCUUCGGCAAUGGACGAAAGUCUGACCGAGCAACGCCGCGUGAGUGAAGAAGGUUUUCGGAUCGUAAAGCUCUGUUGUAAGAGAAGAACGAGUGUGAGAGUGGAAAGUUCACACUGUGACGGUAUCUUACCAGAAAGGGACGGCUAACUACGUGCCAGCAGCCGCGGUAAUACGUAGGUCCCGAGCGUUGUCCGGAUUUAUUGGGCGUAAAGCGAGCGCAGGCGGUUAGAUAAGUCUGAAGUUAAAGGCUGUGGCUUAACCAUAGUACGCUUCGGAAACUGUUUAACUUGAGUGCAAGAGGGGAGAGUGGAAUUCCAUGUGUAGCGGUGAAAUGCGUAGAUACAUGGAGGAACACCGGUGGCGAAAGCGGCUCUCUGGCUUGUAACUGACGCUGAGGCUCGAAAGCGUGGGGAGCAAACAGGAUUAGAUACCUG
rnacentral:rRNA from 1 species